AAUGGCUAAAGUGGGAACGCCAGUUGGAUUUUGGACAUCACGUCGCCCAGGCGUGUAGUAAUAAAUCGGAUUCCUUAGCAGAUAACUGAAGCUCGAAGAAGUUUCCACAAAUAACCCGGUCCACUUCGGGAACCAAUAUAUUGACAAACCUAACAAACUCUGAAUAAAUUGUCAACGUAUGAGCUCUAUAUAAAUACCACGAAUUCGGAUUUUUUACAACAGUUUUAAGCUAUCUACACAUCUUCCAGAAAACUUUGUUAUUUUAUAAAAAUGUCAUCUGCACCAUAUAACGGGUCAUUAAGGGAAAGGGUGGAGCGUUGUUUGGGUUUAGACAAAUGGCAUUUCAACGUCUGUCUGCUGGAGAUAUUAGCAGCAGCGAAUGUCGAAUAUCAAAUCACUUUUGAUGAAAAGGAUAACCAUAUACAAAAACGGGAGUCAGACGAAAUGUUACUUGAUGAAGAAGAUGACGAAAUGACGUUGAGAGUUUUCGGACCAAAACUGUCGAGGAACAAGUCAAGCUUUUCGGAUUGUUGCGAAUAUUUGCAGCAGAUAAAUGAGUGGUUACAAGUUUUUCCCUAGAUACAGAUACAUUUUAUAUUUGUAAAAUAAAAAAAAAACAUUUCGUUUUUCAAAGCCUCGGAGAAAAGCAUUGCAAAUGUAAGAGUAUGUACAUUUAUAUGUAACAUAUUUAGAAAUAAACAAAAUCUUUCUAAAGUAUGCAAAUCGAAUAAAA